UUCCCUGUGGCUCAGUUGGUAGAGCAUGGUGUUUUGCAACGCCAGGGUUGUGGGUUCGAUUCCCACAGGGGGGC
rnacentral:tRNA from 1 species